AAACCAGCACCUCAAGUGGUCAGGAUGAUGAUUGGGCCUAAAGCAUCCGUAGCCGGCUCUGUAAGUUUUCGGUUAAAUCUGUACGCUCAACGUACAGGCUGCCGGGAAUACUGCAGAGCUAGGGAGUGGGAGAGGUAGACGGUACUCGGGAGGAAGUGGUAAAAUGCUUUGAUCUCUCGAUGACCACCUGUGGCGAAGGCGGUCUACCAGAACACGUCCGACGGUGAGGGAUGAAAGCUGGGGGAGCAAACCGGAUUAGAAACCCGAGUAGUCC
rnacentral:rRNA from 1 species